GUUACCUUCCCCACAGACGUAUUGCUUUUCCUCAUACUUGUCUCCGGUGUACUCCAGCAGGAGGCGGAUGUGCUGGCCAAGCUGCAAAUGUCCAAUAAUCAGCUGAAGGCGACCUGGGCAGCUGCGGUGGUGCAAAGUGUGGCUGGUGAGCUGGUGUCUGCAGCCUAUAAAAGGGGACAACAGUCUUCAUCUUCUCCUCCUGCCUGGCUGCUCCAUCUACAACAUCCUUUGUUUAAUAUAUCCACAAUACCCUCUCUGCACAUGUCCGAACCAUCUCAGCCUUGCUUCUCUAACUGUUUCCAAACUGCUCAACCUGAGCUGUCCCUCUGACAUACUUCUUUCAGAUCCUGUUCCUCAUUCACACUCAUGCUUUGUCUGCUUUCAUCCCUCUUGUCUACAGUGCAUACCUCCACCUGUCUUUUCACCUGUUCCCUAUUCUCACUACAGAUCACCAUCUGUGAACCUAACGGUCCACUGAGACUCCGGCCUGACAUCAUCUAUCAGCCUUUCCAUCACCACCGCAAACACGAAAGAACUUCUGAAGGAUAUCCUGAAUCUCUAACUCAUUGUGAUGAAUUAAAGAAAGAAGCAAGCACCUUGGGCACACUGACUGCAUAUUUUAUCUCUAAUAUUUGCCCACUAGCAGCUCUAAAUACAUUCCCAUAACGCAGCCUUCUCUUUUUACAUGAUGUGAUAUGUUUACAUAUAUUUUUGUCAUUUCCUGAUGUAAAAACAGGGAACGUGGAACAUUAGCUGUUAUUUCCCCCUUUUUAGUGUUGGUUGGACCCAGCCAGUAACUCUUGACCUUCCUCUAAAAAAUGUUUCAAACUGCUAUUAGACUACCUGGAGAAGAAAAGCCUGAGGAAAGUGUCCUAUAACUAUAAAACCAUAAAUUGUUUAAUCAAUACACAGGACGAAUAAUCUUUCCAGUGUGUCUUUAAUCAGUACACUGUUAAUGGCACACGUAUCACAUGACCUCAGUUUCCAAACUCAAGCAGCAAUGCUGUACUCUUCUAUUAAGAGCCCCUAAACAUAAAAAGCUAAAAAAAAGCACAAAGCAAAACAUCAACAUCCAGCCAUCCAUUUUCAGUUAUUUAUCUGUGCAGCGGUGUAAGCAAAAAUGGCAUUGAUUUCCCCAGCCACCACCUCACAGCUCUUCAUUAUGGUGUUCCUAAGCCUUACAAGAGACAUAAUCUGCCUGCUGUGUCCUUGGUCUGCCCUGAGGUCUCAAACCACCUAAUUACCUUAACGAGAAGGUGUCAGGUAACAACAAAACACCUUAAUUGGCUCCUUUGAGAUGAAAUGCCUUUUACCAUUACAAAAUUGUACAGUAUUCCAUAAUGAAUGCAUCCUGUUAUUUCUAAUGCUUGCAUUCCUAAAGGAGCAAAACCAAAUUUACAUAUUUUUCCUGUAGCCUACUUAUCCAAAAAAGAUAUUUGUGUGAAUUUCCCAGUUUUGGAGAUAUUUGCUGUAAAAUGUUUGUCUUCUUUGAUAUACUGCAUGUAAAUAGGACAUGCCCUGUUGUACUUAAAUAUGUAUUUAAAUAACUUAAAUGAAGCACCAGAAAUCAUGACCCAGUUUUGCACAACUUCUUUUAAAUCAGUUGCAAACAGUUACAUUUAUGGGACUAUUUUAUUUUUGCCGUCUACAUCCACUGUUGACUCCAGGAUCAUGUAGUGAAGUAAAAAAUAAAACAAGAAUAUUAUCAACAAAGUAAUAGUGAAAAAUAAAGCCCAUGAUAAGCUUACUGAUGAAGAUAUUAUAUACAUUUGCAGCAUUAAAACUGGAUGCCUCUGGGUAAUUAUUAAUAAUUCAGACACAAGUAAACUUUUAGUAUGAGGUAGUCACUGGAAGUGGAACAUGCUAAUCAGAAUUCGGUAAGCACAAAUCUUGAAGUUUGGUCCAAACUCCAGCUGCACUUAGACUGGGAGCUGAACUUUGAACUUCCGGCACUAACGGACAACAACAGAGCUUUGCAUCCCUGCCAUAUCCCAUCAUUACUUUGCACUUUUGUCUUAAAAUUUGUCUUCUUUAUUUUUAGCUUUUAAGCUAGCACUCAUAAAAUGCAAACAGAAUGGCUGGCGUGGCUGCUGAAAUCACCAUCUGAUUUAUCUGCUGUGCUACUUUAUGUUUUGUAGAAGAAAAUUGUUUUGUUUUCAAAUGAAAACAUUUAAACUUUGAUUUUUGGCAUUUCUUUGGGUUUCCGCAGCUGAACAUAAACCCACAAGGCAUGUUUCACACUCAGAAAAGAUAAAAGAUCUUGCAAGUUCACAGCUGAGGAGAACAAUGUGAAUUUUUCUCAGUGUUAAUGAGAGCUGGGCAGAGAUGUUAAUGUUUAAAUUUAAAAACAAAAUCUCUAUUAAACAAUGUGACGACAUUGUUAGAGAAAGAAAAAAAAAAGUUAGUAAACAAAUUUGUAGCCACUAAGAUAAAUAUGUAGGAUUUACUAUGCAAAAUGUAGAGAAUGAAACAUUCAACAUUUGUCACACGACAUACUAAAGAAAUGUCAGAAUUAUAAUUAUUUUGAUACAAAGAUAAAACAUGUUGAAAGAUCAAAUUCUUAGAAAUAUUUUAGAGCUUUUUUGUAAUUUUGCUUGUCUUCAGGAACAGUUCUCCAGGCUUCUUAAAGGACAUUCAGAGCACUUAUUUCAGUAUUGGCUGCCUUUUGUUCUCUUCUCUAUUGAGACAUUUGUUUUUAAGGCUAUCAAUUUUGACAAGAUCUCCAACACCACUGGCUGAGAUGCAGCCCCAAACCAUGACAGAACUUCCACUGUGUUUUACA